AACACAUGCAAGUCGAACGAGCGAGAGAGAGCUUGCUUUCUCAAGCGAGUGGCGAACGGUUGAGUAACGCGUGAGGAACCUGCCUCAAAGAGGGGGACAACAGUUGGAAACGACUGCUAAUACCGCAUAAGCCCACGGGUCGGCAUCGACCAGAGGGAAAAGGAGCAAUCCGCUUUGAGAUGGCCUCGCGUCCGAUUAGCUAGUUGGUGAGGUAAUGGCCCACCAAGGCGACGAUCGGUAGCCGGACUGAGAGGUUGAACGGCCACAUUGGGACUGAGACACGGCCCAGACUCCUACGGGAGGCAGCAGUGGGGAAUAUUGCACAAUGGGGGAAACCCUGAUGCAGCGACGCCGCGUGGAGGAAGAAGGUCUUCGGAUUGUAAACUCCUGUUGUUGAGGAAGAUAAUGACGGUACUCAACAAGGAAGUGACGGCUAGCUACGUGCCAGCAGCCGCGGUAAAACGUAGGUCACAAGCGUUGUCCGGAAUUACUGGGUGUAAAGGGAGCGCAGGCGGGAAGACAAGUUGGAAGUGAAAUCUAUGGGCUCAACCCAUAAACUGCUUUCAAAACUGUUUUUCUUGAGUAGUGCAGAGGUAGGCGGAAUUCCCGGUGUAGCGGUGGAAUGCGUAGAUAUCGGGAGGAACACCAGUGGCGAAGGCGGCCUACUGGGCACCAACUGACGCUGAGGCUCGAAAGUGUGGGUAGCAAACAGGAUUAGAUACCCUGGUAGUCCACACCGUAAACGAUGAUUACUAGGUGUUGGAGGAUUGACCCCUUCAGUGCCGCAGUUAACACAAUAAGUAAUCCACCUGGGGAGUACGACCGCAAGGUUGAAACUCAAAGGAAUUGACGGGGGCCCGCACAAGCAGUGGAGUAUGUGGUUUAAUUCGACGCAACGCGAAGAACCUUACCAAGUCUUGACAUCCCUUGACGAACAUAGAAAUAUGUUUUCUCUUCGGAGCAAGGAGACAGGUGGUGCAUGGUUGUCGUCAGCUCGUGUCGUGAGAUGUUGGGUUAAGUCCCGCAACGAGCGCAACCCUUACUGUCAGUUACUACGCAAGAGGACUCUGGCAGGACUGCCGUUGACAAAACGGAGGAAGGUGGGGAUGACGUCAAAUCAUCAUGCCCUUUAUGACUUGGGCUACACACGUACUACAAUGGCGUUAAACAAAGAGAAGCAAGACCGCGAGGUGGAGCAAAACUCAGAAACAACGUCCCAGUUCGGACUGCAGGCUGCAACUCGCCUGCACGAAGUCGGAAUUGCUAGUAAUCGUGGAUCAGCAUGCCACGGUGAAUACGUUCCCGGGCCUUGCACACAGCGCCCGUC
rnacentral:rRNA from 1 species